ACAGGGGACAUGGUGUGUACUAUAACCAGAGGGGGGAGGAGGAGAGCUAAGGCAGGGAAGGAGGGAGGAACAGACGUAGAAGAAGUGGCAGAGCAAGAGAAGGAAGGAAGAAGACACACUGAGAGGGAGAGAGAGAGGAAGGAAAGCAGUGCUUUAGCGAUGCAUGUCUGCCUGCCAUAACAGACAUCACCACUGCUGAUUGGCUGAUGGGGAGUCCAAGGACCAAGCAGAACUCGUGCAUCUCUACAUCCUCUGAGUCAUCCACUUGUUCACCUGAAAAAAACCCGUUUUGUGAAGCAGUUUAAAAAGUUUUAAAUACAAAUCAAAUAUUCAGAGCUGCGUGCACGCUGGAUUUGCGUGCAUUUGGAAGAGAGUCAGAGAGAGGACAACAUGGUUUCACCCAGCUGAGAGCUAAUGACUGACAGUCAAAACUAUCAAUUGCACAGUCCCACCCCCUCUAGCACAGGAGUGCCCGCAUCAUCAAGAAUCAGGACCUUUGCUGUUUCCUUGGUUACGCCGGGCGCAAAAUCAAAACUGAGACCAACUGCCACAUUGUUCACAUCAGCUGAGGACUGGAGAGUAUCAUGAUAUACAAAUGAACAAGAUGAAGAAAAGGAAAGGUUGUUGGAUGCAAAUAUGUUAGAGAUGGAUGGAAGGAUGGAUGGAUGGAUGGAUGGAUGGAUGUUAGUGGAGGUGUAAAUGGGUGGAGGUGGGCUGUGUGGAAGCUGAUGGGAGGGUGACUGUAGCUGGUGAGAGAGAUCAGAUCCACUCCUGAACCCACACUGCACACACACACACACACACACACACACACACACACACACACACACACACACACACACACACACGAACCUAUACUCAAAGGGUUAAAUAAACUCAAUUGAGUUUUCCCGGUAAUGAACAUGAAAUGACAAGGAUUCAUGUGCAUUUAUCGUUACAAGUACAUUUUCAGCAUUUGGCAGGUUUGGCAAAUGAAAAAAUGAAAAUGUGCAUGUGUUUGUGUGUGUGUGUGUG